rnacentral:tRNA from 1 species
UGUGGCUCAGUGGUAGAGUACAUGCAUAGCAGGUGUGAGACCUUGGGUUCAAUUCCCAGCA